CGUGAAAUUGCUAAAAGGGAAGCGCUUGAAGUCAGUCGCGUCGUUAGAGACUCAACCUCACGGUGUAUUUCUCUGGUGACGGGCCAACAUGGACUUUGGGCGUGGGAAAAGGAUACAGGGAAUGUGGCAGCCUCGGCUGUGUUAUAGCCCUGCAUCGUACACCACGCCUGGGAUCGAGGACCGCGGCUUUGCCUAGGAUGUUGGCGUAAUGGCUUU
rnacentral:rRNA from 1 species